GCCCAGGUGUGUCAUCAGCUGCCCACUGGGGAGAGAGAAGGGCAGAGGAUGAGCCACUAUCCCACCUUGGCCCACACAGAUUCUUUGAACCUCCAAAUGGUUUCAGUCCCUAAGGAAAUGCAGCUCUCCUUCCUGAGCUAGAAUUAGACUCCCUUAGGAAGGGGGGCUGAGGGAGGAGAUGCCCCAGACUCCCUUCCCUCCCACCCCAGUCCCUCCCCCCAGCUAAAGGCCUCAAUCAAUCACCAUCAGCCCCUCCAUCACACCUGCACACUGGCCACCCGCCACCCAGCCUCUCCUCCGCUGGAGGAUGAAUGGGCCUUGCUGAAGGGGUUGCCCCUCACACCACACACACACACACACACACACACAGUUACUUUAUACUCCUUGAUCCUGCAGGUCAUGCAGUUCUGAGCUGCCUGAGUCCAAUGCCUUAAUUCCCGCCUGUAAUCUGGGGCUCAAACCUCAUUGGGGAUAAAGACCACACAAAGGGAGAAGGGGAGUCCCAGGAGAUGUUAAAACAAGUAAACACCUUUGUGUCUGGGGACAGAAAUCGCUGAGAAAGCAGCUUAGCGGGCUGGUCCCUGGUGUUCCUGGCCAGGCUGGCCCCCAGCCCGGGGCGAGCACGCCUCUGUGAUCACAGCCCCCAGCCUGCUGGGCUCCAGCUUGCUCCCCCACCCUCGCCCCUCCCGGUGGCCAAGAGCAGAUUACUGAGAAGAACAAUUUCUUUGUGACUGUGUAAUUCCCUCCGUGACCGCGGCAGUGGGCAGACCCCUCGCCUGAUGCCAGACCCCUAGCAACCAUGUAGGGGGGCCUCCUGGCCCUAGCAACUACCCCUCAACAUCAAGUGCACCCGCUAAUCCCCAAGGCUAGGGGACGGGUAGGAGCAGUGAGUUUGCAGAAUGACUGGGGGAAAUGAAGGAGAAGAGGGGCACCCUCCAGACCCCAUUCCUCAGCUUCAACCAAAAGACGCUGGGCUCUCGGAUACGUCCCAGGGACUCACAGGUAAGAGGCUGGGCAUGGAGCGGGAGGACUUCGUGGUCGCACCAGCCCGGCUUUGGCCCAAACAGUGUUAAUCAAAGGGCUUAAGGCUGAUGGGGCUGCCAGUCACAUGUGUGAAUGUGGCCCUCAGCUCUAGUCCUUCCACCUCACACAGAUGCUGCCCCUCUUCCUUCCUUCUCCCCACUGGAGCCACCAUCUUCCCUGAAGGCUGAAGGAGUAAAGGAGGAGGCUGCGGGCUCUUCUCUGCCCACUCUGCCUUUCCCCUGGAGCCCUGCACAGAGACAUGACCCCCAGCAAGCCUCCCCAUCACCCGCCAGCGGAGGGGCUCCUUCCCCAGCCCCGUUCAGAUGCAAGAAGUUGCCAGUAGCACGAGUUCGGCAGAAUGAGCCAUGGGAAUAACCUUCACAGACUGCAGGAACUCCAACAUCCCAGGGGCUACAAACAAAGGAGUCCUUGGAAGUUUUAGCUACGCUGGCAACAGUGUGAUACAAUCAGCUAUAACAACAAAAGUAGAAGAUUUGGAAUAAGGGAAAUGAUAGCACCCACCACUCAGCCCACACCUGCUAUGUUCAGUACUCAGUUAUGAACACCCCAUUUUAAGGGGAAUUAAACCAGAUAAAUCAGAGAAACUUUCAGGUAAGAAUGGUCCUAAAACAGGCGUGAGACCAACACUCGAAGAUUACUCAACCUUCAAGGUAUCUUGUACCCAUUCUCAUUUGGGCUCUUUGCUAUUCCUCUCUUUCUUGCUGACCAAACCCUGCUUAUGUGCCUUCCUCCUCCUCCCCCACCGCCAACGUGCAUGGUGGGAAGCUGAGCUCUUCCCCAGGCCUAGAGGUGAAUCUGGACUGGUCAUUCCAUUUCCCAUGACAGAGUUUGAUUCAGGGUGAGUGCUAGAAUACACCUUUGGCUCACUAAAUACAACAAGCUGGCUUGGGGGCUCCUAGGAAGGGCUUCCUCAUCUUAAAAAGGGGCCCCAGGCAAGUACAUGUCUUCUUCCUUCCUUCUUCCCUUUGGGUGUUGCCUUAUGAGUUGGAAGACCUUUAGUAAACAAACCUGUGGGCAAGGGCAAAAGCCACCUUGACGGGUGGCAAAACAGAGAGCAGAAGAGAAAAUGGGCCUCAUGGUCUCAUUGAACCACUGAACCCCUCAAUCCUGGAACCAGCUCACUAGCCAACUUCUGGACUCCUGGUCAUGUAAGACAAUAAUAAUAAUUCCUCUAUUGUCUGAGCCACUUUGAAUUAGGUCUUCAUUACUUACAGACAAAAGCACCCAACUGAUCUAUUAUGUUUAUGAGCAACAACUAAAGAGUCUUGGACUUUUGGCCGACAAAGAAGAAGACCCUGGAGGAGCAAGACCAAAGGUUUCUGAAAUCUAAAGGCCUGUCUUCAGAGGAGAGGUUCAACUUGCUUCGUGUCGGGAUCACACCUCCAGGAAGCAGAUCAACCCUCGAUGACGGGAGGCACUCUAAGUCUCAGAGCUGGCCAAGGAUGUAAUGUGGUAUUUGGUGAAGUUGCGAGUUUCCUACCCCUGCAGCUGGAUGAUCAUUAAGAGAAUGUUGUAGAGAAAACCUUAUUUAAUUAUCAUGUGUUAUAAAAAAUAUUUUACAAAGACUGACAACACAAUGGAUACUACAGGAAAAAAGAUAUGGCUAAGACUUUUCUGGGAAGAUGGAGACAAAAGAAGACAAGCUAGAGCAACUGAGGCAAGGGAAAGGCAAGAUGAGCACAUCCUCAUUGCUCAUUAUGGCAUUGAAGCCAGAUUGUAGGUGCUUAGGCCGAGGUGAAGAGUUCUUAGACUUGACGGGGAAAAAAAAGAA